rnacentral:rRNA from 1 species
GACGGAGGGUGCUAGCGUUGUUCGGAAUGACUGGGCGUAAAGCGCACGUAGGCGGACUCUUAAGUCGGUGGUGAAAUCCUGGAGCUCAACUCCAGAACUGCCUUCGAUACUGAGAGUCUCGAGUCCGGGAGAGGUGAGUGGAACUGCGAGUGUAGAGGUGAAAUUCGUAGAUAUUCGCAAGAACACCAGUGGCUAAGGCGGCUCUCUAGUACGGUACUGACGCUGAGACGCGAAAGCGUGGGGAGCGAACAGG